UACGGAGGGUGCAAACGUUGCUCGGAAUCAUUGGGCGUAAAGCGCACGUAGGCGGUCCGUUAUGUCGGGUGUGAAAGCCCUCGGCUUAACCGAGGAAGUGCAUUCGAAACUGGCGGACUUGAGUACCGGAGAGGGUCGCGGAAUUCCCGGUGUAGAGGUGAAAUUCGUAGGUAUACGGAGGAACACCAGAGGCGAAGGCGGAUCGCUGGGCCAACACUGACGCUGAUGUGCGAAAGCUAGGGGAGCAAACGGG
rnacentral:rRNA from 1 species